UACAUUGAAGUCGCCUGAGAUGGCGCGCCAAGGAGGGUGAUAGCCCCGUUCAUAAUGUARAUGACUGAGCACCUCGCUUCGAARAGUCGAGUUGUUUGGGAUUGCAGCUCUAAGUGGGAGGUAAAUUCCUUCUAAAGCUAAWUAUGGAUGGGAGACCAAUARCGAACAASUACCGUGAGGGAAARAUGAWRMGAACUUUGWWRAGAGAGUGAWWUARUACCUGAWAUUGCUGAWRAGGAAAAGUUGGGUAGCAGUAGGGCUGUAGGUACUUGUACCUGUUGCCGGUUAGGCUUGCUUGGGGAUGCGAGAAAAGGUAGGGAAGUCRAUUCGGCUCCCUUGUCCUGUCGUAUGCCCGAGUGACUCUAACAAAAUGCUUCUCAACAACCCGUCUUGAAACACGGACCAAGGAGUCUAACAUGUGCGCGAGUGCUCGGGGUGUAACCUCCCAGCGCGAAAUGAAAGUAAAGGCAGCAAUGCUUAGGUAGGAUGGUGUCAAAACCAGCACUAUCGACCGACCAUGAUCCUUCGGGUGAAAGGUUUGAGUGUGAGCGCAAAUGUUGGGACCCGAAAGAUGGUGAACUAUGCUUGAGUAGGACGAAGCCAGGGGAAACUCUGGUGGAGGUCCGUAGCGAUUCU
rnacentral:rRNA from 1 species